rnacentral:rRNA from 1 species
UACGGAGGAUGCAAGCGUUAUCCGGAAUUAUUGGGCGUAAAGCGUCUGUAGGUGGCUUUUUAAGUCUGCCGUCAAAUCCCAGGGCUUAACCCUGGACAGGCGGUGGAAACUACCAAGCUGGAGUACGGUAGGGGCAGGGGGAAUUUCCGGUGGAGCGGUGAAAUGCGUAGAGAUCGGAAAGAACACCAACGGCGAAAGCACUCUGCUGGGCCGACACUGACACUGAGAGACGAAAGCUAGGGGAGCGAAUGGG